rnacentral:rRNA from 1 species
UACGUAGGUGGCGAGCGUUGUCCGGAUUUACUGGGCGUAAAGGGAGCGUAGGCGGACUUUUAAGUGAGAUGUGAAAUACCCGGGCUCAACUUGGGUGCUGCAUUUCAAACUGGAAGUCUAGAGUGCAGGAGAGGAGAAUGGAAUUCCUAGUGUAGCGGUGAAAUGCGUAGAGAUUAGGAAGAACACCAGUGGCGAAGGCGAUUCUCUGGGCUGUAACUGACGCUGAGGCUCGAAAGCGUGGGGAGCAAACAGGAUUAGAUACCCCGGUA